CCUACGGGCGGCAGCAGUGGGGGAUAUUGCACAAUGGGGGGAACCCUGAUGCAGCGACGCCGCGUGUGGGAAGACGGUCCUCUGGAUUGUAAACCACUGUCCCCAGGGACGAAAAUGACGGUACCUGGGGAGGAAGCUCCGGCUAACAACGUGCCAGCAGCCGCGGUAAUACGUAGGGAGCGAGCGUUGUCCGGAAUUACUGGGUGUAAAGGGAGCGUAGGCGGGGAUGCAAGUUGGGUGUCAAAACUACCGGCUCAACUGGUAGUCGCACUCAAAACUGCAGCUCUUGAGUGAAGUAGAGGCAGGCGGAAGUCCUAGUGUAGCGGUGAAAUGCGUAGAUAUUAGGAGGAACAACAGUGGCGAAGGCGGCCUGCUGGGCUUUUACUGACGCUGAGGCUCGAAAGUGUGGGGAGCAAACAGGAUUAGAUACCCUGGUAGUC
rnacentral:rRNA from 1 species